rnacentral:rRNA from 1 species
CCUACGGGUGGCAGCAGUGAGGAAUAUUGGUCAAUGGACGAGAGUCUGAACCAGCCAAGUAGCGUGAAGGAUGACUGCCCUAUGGGUUGUAAACUUCUUCUACAAAGGAAUAAAACGAGGCACGUGUGCCUUUUUGCAUGGACUUUAUCAAUAAGGAUCGGCUAACUCCGCGCCAGCAGCCGCGGUAAUACGGAGGAUCCGAUCGUUACCCGGAUUUAUUGGGUUUAAAGGGAGCGUAGAUGGGUUGUUAAGUCAGUUGGGAAAGUUUGGGGCUCAACCGUAAAAUUGCAAUUGAUACUGGCAGUCUUGAGUACAGGUGAGGUAGGAGGAAUUCGUGGUGUAGCGGUGAAAUGCUUAGAUAUCACGAAGAACCCCGAUUGCGAAGGCAGCUUACUAAACUGUGACUGACAUUGAUGCUCGAAAGUGUGGGUAUCAAACAGGAUUAGAUACCCUAGUAGUC